GUGGGGAAUAUUGGACAAUGGGCGGAAGCCUGAUCCAGCCAUGCCGCGUGUGUGAAGAAGGCCUUUUGGUUGUAAAGCACUUUAAGCGAGGAGGAGGCUCCUUUAGUUAAUACCUAAAGUGAGUGGACGUUACUCGCAGAAUAAGCACCGGCUAACUCUGUGCCAGCAGCCGCGGUAAUACAGAGGGUGCGAGCGUUAAUCGGAUUUACUGGGCGUAAAGCGUGCGUAGGCGGCUUUUUAAGUCGGAUGUGAAAUCCCUGAGCUUAACUUAGGAAUUGCAUUCGAUACUGGAAAGCUAGAGUAUGGGAGAGGAUGGUAGAAUUCCAGGUGUAGCGGUGAAAUGCGUAGAGAUCUGGAGGAAUACCGAUGGCGAAGGCAGCCAUCUGGCCUAAUACUGACGCUGAGGUACGAAAGCAUGGGGAGCAAACAGGAUUAGAAACCCGUGUAGUCC
rnacentral:rRNA from 1 species